UAGGGAAUCUUCCACAAUGGACGAAAGUCUGAUGGAGCAACGCCGCGUGAGUGAAGAAGGGUUUCGGCUCGUAAAGCUCUGUUGUUAAAGAAGAACACGUAUGAGAGUAACUGUUCAUACGUUGACGGUAUUUAACCAGAAAGUCACGGCUAACUACGUGCCAA
rnacentral:rRNA from 1 species